rnacentral:rRNA from 1 species
UACGUAGGGUCCGAGCGUUGUCCGGAGUGACUGGGCGUAAAGCGCACGUAGGCGGAUGUGCCAGUCAGGGGUGAAAUCCCGGAGCUCAACUUCGGAACUGCCUCUGAUACAGCACGUCUUGAGUCCGGAAGAGGUGGGUGGAAUUCCUAGUGUAGAGGUGAAAUUCGUAGAUAUUAGGAAGAACACCGGUGGCGAAGGCGGCCCACUGGUCCGGUACUGACGCUGAGGUGCGAAAGCGUGGGGAGCAAACAGG